GUCAGCUAAGGUCCCUAAAUGUAAGUUAAGUGGUAAAGGAUGUGGGAUUGCACAGACAACCAGGAUGGUGGCUUAGAAGCAGCCACUCAUUCAAAGAGUGCGUAAUAGCUCACUGGUCGAGUGAUCCGGCGCCGAAGAUUUCCGGGGCUAAAACUUACUACCGAAGCUACGGCAUCAGUAAUGAUGGGUAGGGGAGCUUCCCAUACGGGUUGAAGCAUGACCGUAAGGACAUGUGGACAGUAUGGGAGUGAGAAU
rnacentral:rRNA from 1 species